AGUGAACUGCGUUUGCAGUGAAAAUCCAUAUUCGCCGGUCCCGAAACCUCAGGAAGGCGUAAAGAUUGUAACGGAUAGCUGAAAUUAGC
rnacentral:sRNA from 1 species